rnacentral:miRNA from 1 species
UUGCCGAUUCCACCCAUUCCU